GAGCGCCGUAGCAAUACGGAGCGGCAGACGGGAGAGUAACACGUGGGAACGUGCCCUUUGGUCCGGAACAACCCAGGGAAACUUGGGCUAAUACCGGAUAAGUCCGUAAGGAGAAAGAUUUAUCGCUGAAGGAUCGGCCCGCGUCUGAUUAGCUAGUUGGUGAGGUAACGGCUCACCAAGGCGACGAUCAGUAGCUGGUCUGAGAGGAUGAUCAGCCUCACUGGGACUGAGACACGGCCCAGACUCCUACGGGAGGCAGCAGUGGGGAAUAUUGGACAAUGGGCGCAAGCCUGAUCCAGCCAUGCCGCGUGGAUGAUGAAGGCCCUAGGGUUGUAAAGUCCUUUCGGCGGGGAAGAUAAUGACGGUACCCGCAGAAGAAGCCCCGGCUAACUCCGUGCCAGCAGCCGCGGUAAUACGAAGGGGGCUAGCGUUGCUCGGAAUCACUGGGCGUAAAGCGCACGUAGGCGGCUUUUUAAGUCAGGGGUGAAAUCCUGGAGCUCAACUCCAGAACUGCCUUUGAUACUGAGAAGCUUGAGUCCGGGAGAGGUGAGUGGAACUGCGAGUGUACAGGUGAAAUUCGUAGAUAUUCGCAAGAACACCAGUGGCGAAGGCGGCUCACUGGCCCGGUACUGACGCUGAGGUGCGAAAGCGUGGGGA
rnacentral:rRNA from 1 species